rnacentral:misc_RNA from 2 species
AAGUCGUAACAAGGUUUCCGUAGGUGAACCUGCGGAAGGAUCAUUAACGAAUAUCUAUGGCGUUGGUUGUAGCUGGCUCCUAGGAGCAUUGUGCACGCCCGUCAUUCAUAUCUUUCCACCUGUGAACCAUCUGUAGGCCUGGAUACCCCUCGCUUUGGCAACAAAGCGGAUGCAAGGAUUGCUGCGUCGACAAGGCCGGCUCUCUUUGAAUUUCCAGGUUCUAUGUCUUUUACACACCCCAUUCGAAUGAUUUAGAAUGUAGUCAAUGGGCUUUCAUGCCUAUAAAAAACUAUACAACUUUCAGCAACGGAUCUCUUGGCUCUC